AGUUCUGAGCUUUAUAGUCAACUGGUCAGGACCAGCCUGGCCUCAGCAGGCGAACCCUUGAGCUCCAAGGACAUCCAAAUGUGAUACCAUCACAGGAUUACUAACCAACAUCCUCUGGUGCAUUACCCAGUAACCUACAUCAAACCAGCAAAUUCACAUCUAUUCAAUGCCACCAGGAUUCACAGAUACAGAGAAAUAGAGAAAAGAAGAAUUCAUGGAGGCAACAUGGUAAAAAGGAGACCUCUCUUUCAAAACUCAGGAAGAUGCCUUAAUUCAGUAUGUGUUGGCGAAAAGGAGGAGAUCAUAAAGAGAAGGAGCCGUUGGAGAUGUCAGAGAGGAAGUGUGUUGAUGGAGAAAGGCUGCUGAGGAGGCAGGCUUGAGACCCAAAUAGAGAAAGAUGUCUCUGAGGCAGAGAAACAAGAAGAGAGUGUGUGAGGCAGCAGUUGUGUCCCAGAGUGCAGAGACAAAAAUGGAGUCUCUACCAACUAUACUGGGCCAAUGUCAACCUCCGACAGUGAGAGAAGGAUACCUUCAGAAACCAAAGAGGAUGAGAAGCUCCACAUUCAUCAAGAACUUCCUAUGCGUCCAGCCAGUAACCUGGCAUGGGAGUUAAAGAGAUAGAAAAGAUGUGGUUCAUCCACAACUGUCCUGCAAGGAGUUGGAAAGGCAACCAGCAUACCAAAUAUCAGAACACAAAUACUCACAGGAUGCUCUGGAACCUUGAAGGCGAAGAACUACACCAGCUAAGGCAGGUAGAAGCAAAUGGAGGCGAGAGACAGGAAAACUGGACAAGUUGGAUAUGGGCAGGGAUGAUUUCUGAGCUGAGUUCUGAAUGAUAAGCAAUGCAUACUAAUGUGUGGGAGAAAGCUCAGACAUUCUCUGGAGGUACAAGAGAACAGGGAAGGACGCAGAGGUAAGGACACUCAGGAUGAAGCUGCGGGGGUCCUGCAGGUGUCGAUUAUUGCAGGGGUGGACAGUGCAAAGCAGAUUUGUGGCCCUGUCCAGAAGAUGCGCAAGUAUCGGAUAAGUCUGAACAUUUUCCUGUAGAUAAAUUAUAAACACUGAGAGGCUGUAAUGGGGUAGGGGAAGAAGUGGAGCGGAGGCAUGGCCUGGUCAGAUUGGCCUUUGCCAUAGUGUAUUCUAGCGGCACAGAAUGAAUGGAAUAUGGCAAAAAGUUAAUUAUGUAAGCAGACACUAAAAAAAUGAUUAGACAACAUGGAUAGAAACUCUUGACUGAUGUGAGAGGUGAAGAGAAGCUAUAAAAAUUGCUCCCAGGUUUUGUGGAGGGAGUUAUAAUUAACUAAGAUAGUGAGUACACUAGAAAAGGUUACUGGUGAAAAUUAUGAGAAAUAUUGGGCACUUAACUUGGACACUUUCAAAUUUAUAAUUUACUUCUGACAGAAUUUUGUUUAAGAUUUAUUUAUGUGAAAGGCAGAGUUACAGAGAGGCAGAGGCAGAGAGACAGAGGUCUUCCAUCUGAUGGUUCACUCUCCUAAUGUUGCAAUGGCUGGAGGGAGCUGGGUCAAUCUAAUACCAGGAGCCAAGAGCUUCUUCUGGGUCUCCCAUGUGGGUGCAGGGACAGAAGCACCUGGGUCAUCUUUUACUGCUUUCCCAGGUCAAAGCGAAGAGCUGGAUUGGAAAUGGAGCAGCCAGGACUAGAACCAGUGCUCAUAUGGGAUGCUGGCAUGGCUGGCGGUGUUUUACCUGCUACACCACAGUGCUGGCCACUAUUUGAACAGAAUUUAUAGUACUGACAUGAAAUCUGAUUGGAGAGGUCUACCAAGAGGUCAAUAUAUGUCUGAAACAGGAACAUCAACUAGCAGUCUCAACUGUAAUGGACUCAGCUAAAUGCUUUAUUGCUAGGAAAGCCACGAAGAGUGAGAGAACAGAAUGCAACAUUUGGAGAUUAGAGUAUCUGUGGUGGAAGAAGAAACAGAUGACAGUUGGACAUUGGCAGGGGCUUAGCACUGGGGCCAAGCCAGACAGGGGGUUAGUAGCAAGAAUGGGCUAGUACAGGAGGUGAAAGAGAACUAAGUUAGGGUGAAGUCUGGUCCUUCUUGAGUGAGAGGAAGGGCUCUGAGGGAACAAGGUUGAGGCUGGGUCUUUGGGGAUGGAGAAUUCCAAGCUUGGACUUGUGGGUGAGGCCUGGUUACUGAAUGAAUAGAAAGUCCAAGAAGAAACAGGCAGUAGGGGUGUCAGAGGUGAUGGUGAAUUCUGAAGAUGCAAGAGAGAUGGGAGGAGAAGAAAGAAAGGAAAGGUGAUUCCAGCACAUCAAUCAGUAAAGAGGGCAUUGUUAGAAAGAAAAAACAGAGUGAUCUGUGGGCAGACAGCAGAACCCUUUACUUCCAUGUGGGUUUCCUCUGAGGAGAGUUUUGGGAGACACAAUGUUAUCUUCAAUGCUGCCCAAGUUGAAUAUUUAAUCCUCAUUUACCUGCCUUCUCUUCCCAUAUCCACCAUCUCCACCUCACCUGUCAUAAUUUCCCAAUCUACCUAUUUUAACAGAUAAUUUCAAUAUAUUUUCUGGUCAUUCAGCUUUCAUUUUUAAAGAAGUAUAAAGCACCCUUAACAAUGUACUCAUAAUAUGUACAC